UAUUACAUUGAUUGCCAUAAUUGC
rnacentral:siRNA from 1 species